rnacentral:rRNA from 1 species
CGUGUAGGCGGGAAUGCAAGUUGAAUGUGAAAGCUCGAGGCUUAACCUCGAGACUGCAUCCAAAACUGUGUUUCUUGAGUACUGGAGAGGAAAGUGGAAUUCCUAGUGUAGCGGUGAAAUGCGUAGAUAUUAGGAGGAACACCAGUGGCGAAGGCGACUUUCUGGACAGCAACUGACGCUGAGGCGCGAAAGCACGGGGAGCAAACAGGAUUAGAUACCCUGGUAGUCCGUGCCGUAAACGAUGGAUACUAGGUGUAGGGGGUAUCGAAUUCCCUCUGUGCCGCAGUUAACACAAUAAGUAUCCCACCUGGGGAGUACGGCCGCAAGGUUGAA